rnacentral:rRNA from 1 species
UACGUAGGUGGCAAGCGUUGUCCGGAUUUACUGGGCGUAAAGAGCGCGCAGGCGGCCAAGUAAGUCGGAUGUGAAAGCCUCCGGCUCAACUGGGGAGGGUCAUUCGAUACUGCUCGGCUCGAAGACAGGAGAGGGAAGUGGAAUUCCCGGUGUAGUGGUGAAAUGCGUAGAUAUCGGGAGGAACACCAGUGGCGAAGGCGACUUUCUGGCCUGUUCUUGACGCUGAGGCGCGAAAGCUAGGGGAGCAAACGGG